UUAAAGAUAAGAGUCUUGUGGACUUUCCUGCCUGGACUGGCUUCUAACUGUGAUCUUCAGAUCUCAUCCUCCUGAGUAGCUAAGCAUAAGCCACUAGCACCUGCAUUAAAUGAAUCUCUACAAAGAACUGAUCUUGGCCUCCAGACUCAUUUCUUGUUUUCUCUUCCAAAUAUUAGAGAUGCAGUCUACCAUAAUUAGACAGCUCUUGACCUAGGUAUUUGAAAGACUCUUAACAAAUAGGAGUUGUAGGAAGAAUGGUGCAGGUAUAGUUGAUGAAGUCAUUCAGGUCUCUUUCUGGGACAUUGUAUUGUGGUGUUUGGUGUAUGUUUUUUUUUUUAUAAACCACUUCUGGCAAAAAGAAGCUCAAGUACAUAAAAGAAGACUUAUUUGUGCCCUGAUCUUGAGCUACUUUUGAAAACAUGGCAUCACUGUUCAUAAAGGACAUAAAUGCAUAUAAAUUUACGUGCAUGACCCCUUAAGUCCAGCAUGCAACCUUGAGUGCAUUAGAGUCUAGGACUUUGAAAUGAAAACACAGUGCAUAGCAAUCCUCUGCAACAGGGAACUGGGACUAAGCCUUGAGUGGCAUUACUCUGGCCAACGCACACAAAUUCAAUGCUAACAUUUUAACCUAUGGCCAUGUGCAUUAAAGAUGAAUUUUGCCUGGAAAAAAAUUAAUGUCCCACAGCUCUUAGAACUGUAGUUUCUUUGUGAAAUGGAGUAUGCAAAAUGGCUUUUAAAAAUCAACCUUUGGGCGACUAGCUUGUUUUUCCUGUCUUGGCUUGUCUUAGUACUUAGACCCCUAAAGGAUCAUUAAGCAAAUAAUCAAAUAGGUAUAAAAGAACCACCCAGAUUCACAGCAAGCAGUAUGGAGAUGGAUGGAGCCAGUGAGGAAGACCAAUUUUCAAAUUAUUUUUUAGUGUGAAACUAUAAAAUGUCGCUUCUAUUUUCUUUUUUUUAAAAAAUCAUCAUUUAAAACCAUGAAGGUUCACCACUCUUUCCUUGGCUAAUAGAUUGAAUUUUAAACAAGGAAGGUUCAUUUUGCAGGCAAAAGUACGAAUAACAGCUAACGAGAGUGGAACUGGCCUGGAAACUUUGUGAGUUAUCAGAUUUAUGUUGUGUCUACAGAACAGACUAAGAUUUUUUUCUUAAAAGCCUUCUGGGGUCUUGUAUCAAUUUAAUUUUGAUGAAUGGCCAGUGUGGUAAAUAUUAUUUACAUUACUACACAAGUUGGGUCUGUUCCAUUGUGCCUGCUAUGAAAUAGUUUCUCAACUUAAUCUCCAUGGACUGGCUUUGCCCACUGUUAAUUCACAAUUAGAAGGAUAAUUAGUAAUGCGAGCACUUUGCUUUUGAACUAAAAACAAGAACAUGAGCUCAUUACUCUAUCAUCUGGAAGUUAGCAAUUCUUGAGCCUAAAGAUUUCAAUACUGUACUCCCAGUGAUCUACACAGGUGGUAGUAUUACUUUUUUAAAUUUUGCCCUUUUUUCUCUUUUAUAUAUAUAUAUACAUAUAUGUAUAUGUAUAUAUGUAUGUAUAUACACACAAAAUUAUAUAUAUAUACAAAAUUAUAUAUAUAAAUAAAAUGGCACGACAGUCUCACUCCUUUGAUUUAUCUGCAUUUCUUCCCCCUCUAUCCGUGUCUGCUCAUUUACUCAUCCAUUCUACAUGUUUGUUAAGCCUAUUUUACAUGGGCCUGAUAUUGUACAAGAGCAGCCACAGAUGAUACUUGAACAAAAAGGGUCUGGCAGUAUUCUAAUAAAACUUUAUUCACAAAAACAGACAGUGGAUCAGAUUUGGCCAACCUUUCAAAGCCACAAGCUUUGAGGCUAUAGACACAGCAGAAAGCAAUAAAAAUUCUAAUGGAUAUGUACUACAAUCAGAGAAGUAGACAAUACAUAGAAAAAGAAAGAAUUUCAGAGUAGCAAGUAGAAUGAAGGAAACCUGUUUUCCAUAUCAAAAUCAUAACUUACAGUCAGCACAGAGCUAUUAUGUUGCGAAUGUUUUCUCUGUACCUUCUCAAUUGUUGUUUCUGAUGUCCCUGAGUCUUACCAUCCUCCCUGAUUGCUACUUUUACUUAUUCCUCCCAUUCACAGUAUUUAGAUAAAUCUAACUGAUGAUCACACAAAUGAGAGACCAAAUGCAUCCACUUGUUCCUCUUAUAAUAUACUUUAUCUUAAUUCCUUGUUUCUACUUUAGACAGAGAAUCCUAGAAAUCCUGAUGGGGAAAGGGCACAAAUGAGGAAUGUAAAUGUGGACAAUGUCUGUCCCUUGCUAUGGAUGUCAUUGUUAUUUCUGCUUCUCUAUAGUUUCAGAGGAUCC